rnacentral:lncRNA from 1 species
CUGAACAACACAGAAAGUGUGCAUAACCCUGCCAGAUAGAAGAUACAUGAAGGUGGAACUACUCAACAGCCUGGAGAUUAAGCACAUUUGCAGGAAAUGUGGUCUGAAUGAUAUCAAGGGAUAUCAGGAAACUUGAAGCUGCUCUGGAGUCUUCAGAAGUGACCAUCUCCUGCCCUUCAUGUCCAGCAAUGGGGUUUGGGGAUGUGGUGGCACUAACAAGCCCCCCUUUCAAUGCUGCAUUAAUGUAUGCUGUGUAACUGAAGUCAUUUUUGACGUGGUGCGUCAGGGAGUCCAGAAGGCAGUAACCCGACGAUAUGAUCAGACAACAGAUUUAAAAUUGACAGAAGGUUGCACUUCUUUUUCCAUUGUUUGUUUGUGGUUCUUGUUUGUUUUUCAUAAAGCAUAAUCACAUUGCAGAAGUCAUUGCCUUGAGAUAUUGUGGAAGCUUAAAGAAUAAAUCAUUGAGGAG